ensembl:processed_transcript
AGACUGAGUUUGCUUCCAGGGACCCCAAGUUGGUAAGGUAUUUGCAGCGGGACGAGGUUCUCGAGGCUCCCUGUGCUUUAACGACAGCGUCCUUUUGGCCUUUGAGUCAGUGGACAGAAGAGGAAAUUUAAGAAAAAGUAAUUGAGCCGGGCCUGGUGGUGCCUGCCUUUAACCCUGACACCAGGAAGGCAGAAGCAGGUGGAUUCUGGGUUAAGAGACCUUGCGGGGACGGGGGUGCGGGAGUAAGAAAGAGCAAUUAAAAUCACACAAAGUAUCUUCUCUGAUCAUCAUGGAAUAAUCAAAUAACUAUAAAUAAAACAUAACACAAUCUCCAAGCAUUUAGAAAUUAAACUUUUCCAUGAGCAGGCAAAGGACUUAGAACAUUUGUAAUAGGAACUGGGUGCGGUUUGUUGUUUUAAAUACGAUCGUUCAUUUUUCCCCACGUGUUAGAGGGCAGCAAUGAGGGAUAUGCCACAGUGGUAUGGUGGCCCAGUUGCAACGUUAACUUGCCUGUCUUUUGUCAUCCUUGGUGUGUAUCUUCAAAUUCGCUCCCAAGGGUCAAGGGAUUUGCCAUAGCUCAGACAUCGCAUCUCUGUUUCAAGCAGCAGGAAGCAGUGUAAAAGGUCCACAAUCUUUUAUCACACCUCCCAAAGACUCUGUGACUCCAAUUUACUUCUACUUCAUCUCAAAAGUAUCUGAACAAGGUUUCAAAUUCAGCCACAUCCAAAAUACAGGUAAGGUGGACAGGGCUUUGAACCUGAGGCAUGACAGCUUCAGUACCAGUGGAAGGUAACACCCGAGGAAGCAUCUCUGGUCCUCCGGCUCCCUUCUCAUGCAAGACACCCUUGGUCCCUCCACAUACCGGAGCAUUUUUACCUACGCAGCUGUGUCUGCUAGCUCUAAAAAAAUGAUGUUUGUAGUCCAUUUUGUGUUGCCGUAACAACAGGACUGAAUAAUAAUAACAGGAAUGUGUACCUUCUGGAGGCUAAGUCUAAGAGCAUAGCACUGAUAUCUGGUGAUGGCAUUUCUGACGUAGCAUAACAUGGUAUAGAGGCAAGAGAACCCACGUGUUGGGCAAGAAUACACCAAGCAAACACAUCAUUUGAUCCGUCUUAAAGGGUCCACCUCUUAAUACUGCUACAAAAACUAAUACUUCAACAGGAGAUCUGAAGGGACAUUUCAAACCAUAGUGAGGCAGUGUGGUGAAGUGUCUAGGAUGGCAGGGGCUAAUGUGUGUGUGUGUCUCAAUUUGAAGACUGAUGCAGCAGGAAAAGCCGGGUCUCAAAACUCAGCCAAGAUUUCUUGAAAACAGAAACACAGAGAGGGAGCUAGAAAGUGCAAAAUACACAGAGACAGAGCGACCUAUCAGAGGGGACCCAAAGAUAGUAUCUGUCAGAGGGAGAAUUUUUAUGUUUAGCGAAUAAGUAGUUCUCUCUCCCUCAAAACCUUGGGCCAUUGCAGGGCAAUGUAUAAUCUAGACAAAAAAAGUGAGGCUGACUGUUUCUCCAUACAGGGCACCCUCUUAGUGGGAGAUUUGGAAGUCUCACUGAACAGUUCCUCUGAUAGGAAAAGCCCACUAAGUCUUUAUCUUGGAGAAGAGAAAGAAAGCAGGAAGUUAGCUAUCUUAAAGGUUUCAAUAGAAAAAAAAAUUACAUUAAUAUUCCAAGAUCCCCUUUUUCUUGUGCAUGCCUACCAGGGAGUUGUCUACCUUCUAGUCCCUCAGGAGGACUGACCUUGCCAAAUUCUUCCUACGUUGGUACCUUAUCAUCUUUAGGAUUUUGUGUUUAAGAAUAUGAUAAGAUAAAACUAUUCAUUAGUAAUUUAACAUACAUGGCUGAGGAGAUGGCUUGGACAUUAAGAACAUUUGCUACUUUUACAGAGGACCUGGUUUUGGUUUGUGGUAAAAUAAUCUUUGUGUCACACAAAAGAACACAUGAGUAAAACAAGAGUAGCUCAGCAAGGUGACUUUUUUUUUUUUCCAAAAAAAAAAGGGUUCUUGAAAACCCAAGCGAGGCUAGUGAGCACACAUGCCCAAGAUGCUCCCUGUUAUCCCUAAAUGCAGGUUAUGACUGUAUCUCAUCCCAUUGGUAGGAGCCUGACUUCACAACCACAUGAUUGGUUAAUCAGUGUAAAGAGGGAGAUUCAGAGAGUAUGGGUUCUUGUCACAUUAACUAUCUUUGAGGGUAGCAAGCAUAUGCUGACUUUGUGAUGAGUUUAUUAACGGUAAAUUAUUGUUAAGUGAUAGCUCAAGCAUGACUUAAAGUGAGCCCACCUUACUAGGGUCCCAAGACUCAUAGACCUGUCCCAACUGGAAUGUAAUGUUUUCACCCUGGUCAAAGACUCUAUUCUGACAAGCCAUCUUCUCUCUUAAGAUUUAUUUCUAUUUUACUAUUCUCCCUCUGAGGAGAUAGAAUUAUUUAGGUGGCAGAUUAGAGGCCACACACAUGCACAGACUUUCUAGAAAUCUCUGGUUUCUAGCCAAGGUCAAAGUGCCAAGAGAACCAAGGACUGUUUGUGCAUUCUGGCAAGAGAGAAAUGGGGGUGUUUGUUUUGUUUUUAUAUUAUUUUUACCCUGGACUGCCCCAGCUAAUGGUUUUUUUGUUUUUUACCUUUUUAAAUUACUCGCCCUUCCUCUGAAGAAGUAGCAUUCCCGUGAAGAAAUUGGGAUAAUUACCAGUUUGACUAUUUUAAGCAGAACGGGACCAUCAGACAUGGCAGUCAGGGUACACCUCCAGUGGAUCUAUCUAAAAGAUCCCAAAAGUGUGUUGUUGGUAGUUUAAUUUGUAUAACUAUAGCUGACUUUUGCUAUUUCUUUCUUCCAUCCUUUCAACCCCCUAACUCUAGAUAAGAGAGAAAAGAGGACCCCUGAAUAAAGUCAGGGAUUGGAAAGUAGGUGUCAUAAUCAAUAGACUAUGUUCUCCUGAUUGUGGGCAUCAAGUUCCUUGGGCUAAGUUUGAUCUUACCCAUGGAGAUAUCUAAUUGUUUCUUAUUGCUGUUUCUUCUUUGCACAUAACUUCUUAAUAAACCAAAACCAACAACAGCCAACAACGGACCCUGCCUUUCUGAGCCCUAGCAUUUAUAUACCCUCUGGAAAGUCCUCAGAAUUCCAAACAUCAUACAAUCCGUAGCUGUCAAAGUCAUGCGUCUGCUACAGCAUGAGGCAAAUCAUAGUCAUCUAUUGUGGACAAUCUGAAGUAGCCCCAUACUCUAUCCCUGGGGUUAAAACAAAAGCACAUUCUUAUAAUACUUCUGUGUUUUUUAAAGAAACCAAAAUUCAGGCUGGUGAUGUGGUUCAGUAGUUAAGAGCAUUGAAAGCUCUUCCAGAGGUCCUGAGUUCAAUUCCCAGUGACCACAUGAUGGCUCACAACCAUCUGUUUUGGGAUCUGAUGCCCUCUUCAGGUGUGUCUGACGACAGCAACAGUACUCACAUACAUGAAAUAAAUGAAUAAAUCUU